rnacentral:rRNA from 1 species
CACGUAGGGCGCAAGCGUUGUCCGGAAUUAUUGGGCGUAAAGAGCUCGUAGGUGGUUUGUUACGUCCGCUGUGAAAUCCUAGGGCUUAACCCUGGGCUUGCAGUGGAUACGGGCAGACUAGAGGUAGGUAGGGGAGAAUAGAAUUCCUGGUGUAGCGGUGAAAUGCGCAGAUAUCAGGAGGAACACCGGUGGCGAAGGCGGUUCUCUGGGCCUUACCUGACACUGAGGAGCGAAAGCGUGGGGAGCGAACAGG